GGGGGGGGGGGUCCAACACAAAGGAUAAAAUUCCCAAGCUGAUACGGCUUUUGUUCGUUUUGAACACUUUGUAAUAUGGUUAUGAAUAACCAUUAAUUAUGUAUCAUAAACCCUUGGUAGCUACCUUUUGUAAACAACAUAAGCUAAACAUUCCUUAUCCAACUGGCAAAAUAAGAAAGUAUGAGUUUGUCAACUAACUAUUGCAAAUAUUAAAGAAAUUAAGAUAAUAAUGUACUCAAAUGGACAAGUAUUAUUUGGGUUUAAACCUUCGCUUCCAACAUAUAGCUCUACAAAUUCUUGUGGAUAGGCAUAUAGCUCGAAGAAAGGGUAAACAUCAGCAAUAGAUGUUGGCAAAUUUUGUUUUCGCUUGUAGGUAAUGCAAAGAGGGAUCUUCAACCUAGCUCCAAUAAUUGUUUCCUCUAGAAAUAAUCUAUAUUGCCAUCUACCAUUAUUAGAAUGGGGGGUAUUAGAUUAGAUGUUUUAAGCUUAAACUUUAUUUCAACGUCAAAUUUAAAAAUAUCAAUGAAAAUAACUUAAGAUGCUCUUUCCAUCAAUUGUGUGUAGAGUAGAGCACCAUGAUUCAUUGCCUCUAUAAUGUUAAAUCUAUAAUUGUUGUUUUGCCAAAUUCAUUCAUCACGAAACAUAAUAGGCACACGUACCAAAGUUAUUUCCCAUUAUAAUACAACACAUAAUUAUAUUAAGAUAAAUACAAAAAGAAAAUGACACAAGGUAUGUGUAGCAUGUAAAAUUGUUUGUCCAUCUAUAUGACAUCAGUCGUGUAAUUUGUUAAGCUAUACGACUACAAAUAAGUAAAUAGUUAAAUGAUAUAUUUAAGUGAAAAAAUUUGAAUAUUUAAUGAAAAAAAUACAUUUUUUACAAUAAUAUAAUGUUAAAGUGUCAUAACAACUAAAACAUUUUAUCCACUUACACAAUUGUAAUAGUGUAAAUUCAUACAAAUACGACUGCAAUUGUGUAAAAUGGGUGCAGUAGAAAAAAUUUUAUUUUAAAAUUUUGAGAACAAAAUGAGAUUAAAAUCCAUUACAUACAGUGAUAUAAUGCAAAAUGUAAUGGAAAUGUGAGUUAUUUUAUUAGUUAUCCACUACAAGGAAAUUGUGUUUUGGUGACUAUAAAUUUAGUCUUUAAAACUUAUCCAAACAGCCACAAAAUGUUUCUACGACUGUUUAUUUUUAGUGGUACAAUAGAUAUAGAAUGUCACUUAAGGAAAGCUUUUACGACUAAAUUACCUUAGUCACUGAAUACACUUAUAGAUGACUAUUACAUUAGUCAUAUAUGAUAAUUAAAUGAGUUAGAAUCAUCUUGGGAAUCGAGUUAUAGGCCUCAUCGUUUCAACAAGCCAUUGGAGACAAUAUUUCGUUGAGCCUCGCUCAGAAACGCAAUUGUUAAGAGAAAGAAAGUGAAUUGGAAUGUGGCGACUUUGGCUUCGUGAAUUGAAUGGAUGAUGACAAAUGGUAUGACUAACUGAGGCUCAAAGAGUUGUGUUGUGCUGUGUUUGUUUACUUCUUUUUCUACUCCUCCACUACUCUACUUGCUUGUUCGUCAUGUUUCUUUGUUCGUUCCUCCAGCCAACAAUUAAAAAGUUUUUUUUUUCCUUUUCUCCAGUUGCGAUGCAAGUGAUAAUUAUUAAUAGAUAGAUAAGUAAACUUUGAAAAGAACUAUUAUUAUUGUUGAGUUUCUUUUGUCUUUGACUGUGUUCAUCGAUUAUAAACUAUGAAUGCCUCACAUUUGGGCUGUGUUUAUUUGCUGGAGUGGGAGUGAAGAGUGUGGAUUCCUCCCACUCCAGCGUUUACUUGCUUAAAAUAGCCACAGAUUGGGAAUCCUACUCCGUGGGCCCCACUCAUUUUUGGAGUGGGGAGUGGGAGUGGGAAUCCACUCCCACCUCUCCCCUUUU
rnacentral:lncRNA from 1 species